rnacentral:misc_RNA from 1 species
CAGAGAUAUGCCCUUCGGGGUAGACCUCCCACCCUGUAUAAUUUACUCUUGUUGCUUUGGCAGGCCGCCCUCGAGCCCCCGGCACUCGCUGCUGGGGAGCGCUUGCCAGAGAACCCUAACUCUUGUGUUUAGUGUCGUCUGAGUACUAUCUAAUAGUUA